rnacentral:rRNA from 1 species
CUGGCGCCUUCGGCGUCCGAGUUGUAAUCUCGAGAAGUGUUUUCCGUGAUAGACCGCAUACAAGUCUCUUGGAACAGAGCGUCAUAGUGGUGAGAACCCAGUACACGAUGCGGAUGCCUAUUACUUUGUGAUACACUUUCGAAGAGUCGAGUUGUUUGGGAAUGCAGCUCAAAUUGGGUGGUAAAUUCCAUCUAAAGCUAAAUAUUGGCGAGAGACCGAUAGCGAACAAGUACCGUGAGGGAAAGAUGAAAAGCACUUUGGAAAGAGAGUUAACAGUACGUGAAAUUGUUGGAAGGGAAACACAUGCAGUGAUACUUGCUAUUCGGGGCAACUCGAUUGGCAGGCCCGCAUCAGUUUUUCGGGGCGGAAAAUCAUAGAGAGAAGGUAGCAGUCUCGGCUGUGUUAUAGCUCUUUAUUGGAUUCGCCCUGGGGGACUGAGGAACGCAGCG